rnacentral:rRNA from 1 species
GGACGGGGCCCGCACAAGCGGUGGAGUAUGUGGUUUAAUUCGACGCAACGCGCAGAACCUUACCUGGUCUUGACAUCCCGGGAAUUUCCUUAAAAGAGGGAAGUGCCUCGCAAGAGGAGCCUGGAGACAGGUGCUGCAUGGCUGUCGUCAGCUCGUGUCGUGGGAUGUUGGGUUAAGUCCCGCAACGAGCGCAACCCUUGUCUUUAGUUGCCAUCAUUCAGUUGGGCACUCUAAAGAGACUGCCGGUGUCAAACCGGAGGAAGGUGGGGAUGACGUCAAGUCCUCAUGGCCUUUAUGACCAGGGCUACACACGUACUACAAUGGCCGGUACAAAGGGCAGCCACUUAGCGAUAAGGAGCCAAUCCCGUAAAGCCGGUCUCAGUCCGGAUUGGAGUCUGCAACUCGACUCCAUGAAGUUGGAAUCGCUAGUAAUCGCAGAUCAGCACGCUGCGGUGAAUACGUUCCCGGGCCUU